rnacentral:rRNA from 1 species
AUGUGUGUAACAUUCCUCAAAAUAUCAAAUUCAGUAAAACAGUACUCGACAAACAGAAACAACAAAUUCAGUGCUGACAGUGCUAAUGGGGCACAAAUAUGUUCUCCAACUUGCCUAAUGUUAAGUUUCUACCUGCCUGUUGGGUAUCGCGAGGUUGUCUCUGAUGGAACAAUUAACUUGCUUGGUCCACGCUUGGAUGUUCCAAAAAAAUAUAUAGGGGGAUGGGUAAGUAAAGAGAGUUUUAAACAUGUGCAGUUGUCUCAACAAUAUUUGUUCUGGAAAACAGUACUUCUAGAUGUGCUUACUUUAGUGCCAAAUUGCUUAUUGUUCACCUGUUGUACCAUUCCUUGUUACGAGCUGCGUUGUACUCCCUUUGUAAAGAAAUAUAAGAGCAUUUAG